AUGUUUUGCUAUGCACUGUAUAAAGGCAGACAAAACACUUUGAAAUGUACUAUACAUUUUUCUAAACACAAAAAAUAAGUUAACUCAACUUAGUACAGAAGGUAAGAAAUUUUGUGAUAGCGUUCCAAUGUUCGUAAUUGUAUAUUUUUGUCUACUCAUAAACAUGCUUAUCACGAACUUACAUGAUCAAAGUUAAUAUAUAUAUUACCUCUUUUACUUACCAAAAAGCGGGUUAUUUUCGUUGGUGCAAAAUUGCGCGAUUUUCAUUGAAUAAGGUAUACGAAAUAUUUUGGAGGUUACUAUUUUGGCGUAUACAAAACUUUUAUCAAUACCUUUCCAUGUGCACUCCCAAAUUGAAAGAAGUUGUUUUAGUGAAUUUGUUCUAUCCACGAAAAUAAUCGAAAAUUUUCAAGCCACGAAAUAACCCGCUUUACGUUAUUUUGUUCGCCAUAUGCAGGUAAAAUGAAAUAUAUAUCUAAGACUUACAUAUCAAUUAGUCCGUGUGCUUGUUUUCGAAAUAUAAGCCAUUGAAAAUUUGGCAGGAAACAAAAUCUAUCUCGAUUUUUUCUACAUUGAACGAUGCCACGUUUUGUCUUUCAAAAACUGUUAAAAUAUAACAAGGAUUUUAUAAGAUUUUCUACAUUGAUUAUAAAAACUAUAUCAUAUUAUAUUGAUAAAAGGAAAGAAGGGGUAAAUUGGCAAAACUGUUAUUGACACAACAUAGAUAAAACAACAGAAUUCCGAAUAUUUACUAAACUUUCAAGUGGAGCAAACACCAUUUGCAGACAGUGAAAAUUAUGCAUUGAACACCUGUCAGGCGAAUUUAAGCUCAGUCAAAUGUCACUAUUGAAAAUAAGACAAUUUAGUUUUUUCUUUUUAAUUAACAGAUAAGAAGAAUAUGCUAGUAUAUAAAGAAUUAAAAAGAUUCAUCAGUGACGCUUAGAUCAAAAUAGUUCAAACGCCAAAUAAGUACAAUGUUGAAGCGCAUUUAGGACCCGAAAUUCCAAAAAGUUGUGCCAAAUACUGCUACGGCAAUUUAUUCCUGGGAUAAGAAUAUCCUUAGUUUUUCGAAAAAUUCAAAGUUGUGUAAACAGAAAAUUUAUCAAACUACCAAAUAAUUGAUAUGCAUGUCAACACCGAAGUACUGAUUACUGGGCUGGUGUUUAUCUAUAAGUCUAUAAAAUCAUAUAGAUAUGAGUCGUUCUUCUUCAAAGCUCUGCUGGAGCUGCUUUUGUGAAUGAAACUCACUCGUGUAAAUGACCAAGAUAACUUUUUUAUUUGCAGUGAAUGAGUUUAAAAGUCUAAUAUUUACCUGUACUUUAUAAUUCACGCUUUAAGACAGAUUUAGGUAAAAACUUUCACUUCACUUACUUAUAUACCCGAAUUGGUUAGUACAUAUCUGAUUUAUAAAACUAUGGUUUACAUGUUUUGGUAUUCGAGUCAUGUGAAGACCAGUAGUUUACGUCUGAUGUACUCAAUUAUAUGUCUUGUAUCUAUGACAAUAUUUUACAAUCACCGAACUUAAUUCAUAAUUAGUUGUGUUGACUUUUUCUAUGUAAAUAGGUAUCCCAAGUUUUGCAUUCAGAACUUUAUGCAGACAAAACCUUGUGUUAAUGCGGUUCUUGUAAGAUUAUUUAUCUUAUUUUACGGGCCUAUCUGUACCUGAAUUGAAUAGAUAUUGCAUUUUAAUGGUUAGUUUGAAUAAGGAACCUGCUUUCUAGUGACCAUAUGAAUCCAGAUAAAACACUUUGGUAAACACUGUUUGGUAUCUUUUCUGACCUUUUUUGGUAUUUGACUACAAAGUACUCGUUUUUUUUUUUUUUUUUUUUGGUAAUAUUGGUUUACAGAGUGCAAGUCAGAACCCAACAUAAAGAAAAUAAUCAUUUUAAAACUAUUUGGAAAAUGCUUGACCGAUUUGGUUGAUAAAAAGCACAAAGUUCAAUAGCAAAACGAAAACGACACAGGAAUACCAAUUAAAGUUAUGGAUUAUUUAAAAGUUAUGCAUGGUUUUUUAUCUAACUUAAUGUAAUGCGCUAAAAAAGUGAUUGGGUGAUUAUAUAUCGUUAGAAAUCUAUGAAAAGUAUGAUCUUGUACAAUGUCAAGUUAUAAGUAGUAAAAUAGUUAUCAAAGGUACCAGGAUUAUAAUUUAGUACGCCAGACGGGCGUUUCGUCUACAUCAGUGACGCUCAUAUAAAAAUAUUUAUAAAGCCAAACAAGUACGAAGAUGAAGAGUAAAAGAAGGACGAAAGAUACAAACUCAUAAAUCGAAAAUAAACUGAUAACGCCAUGGCUAAAAACGAAAAGGCCAAACAGACAAUCAAUGGUACACAUGACACAGCAUAGAAAACUAAAGAAUAAAAAACACGAACCACACCUAAAACUAGGGGUGAUCUCAGGUGCUCCGGAGGGUAAGCAGAUCCUGCUCCUCAUGUGGCACCUAUCGUGUUGCAUUACUAAAUGUAUAGACAUGAUGUUAGCCCUAUUAUGCAACCUCGACCAAGAAUACAAAGUCAGUCAUUCCUAUUACAACUAUGUAUACGUAGACCUACAUUCAUCCCCAUAAUUCAUUAUAAAUCUCACGUUUCCCCAAUCUCAACUACCUUCCGACAAACUUCGCCCAUGCGUAUUAUAACUUCCUUUCUCUAACCAUUGGUUUCUCUUUUAUCCACACUGAAAUUGAACUUGUAUACUCAACAUCCUUCUCCUAAUCUUGGCAAUGUAUGGUAAGAGUUAUGUGGGGUUUUUUUCAUUCAAUCUUGACAAUGUCUCCUUAGAAACCAUUUUCCCUUACCUUGUGAAUGUUAAACAAGACUAUAUUUUUCCUUUGUUCUUAAUGUAGAUUAUUCUCCCUUUCACUCUCCCAUGACAAUGCAGCUUUUGAGUCCCUGUACUUCAUUUUCGACACAACAUGUUGGUUAUACCAUUUUCCUUCAGACUAUACAAUAAAGACUUUGACCUCUCCACUCCUAUUUCAAUAAUUCAUAUAUAGACUUUCUUUCUCUUAUUCUCGACAAUACAUAUUUAGCCUCCUUUUCGGCCCACCCCUAACAAUACAUACUGAAACUCCUUUAACUUCAGCAUCGCAAUUCAAACUUAACCUCAGCCUCAACAAGGAAUCAUAUCUGUUUCCUUAACAAUGAGUAAUAAAUUAUCUUUCCAUAACUCUUGACAAUUCACAUUUAGGCUGAAGUUUCUUUACUUUUGACACCGCAUUCUAAAAAUCCGUUUUCCCAGCCUCGACAAGAAUACUUUAAUUGCCCCCCAUCGUCGAUAACGCAUACUGAUUUAAAACAAAGAAGAUGUGGUAUGAUUGACAAUUAGACAACUCUUCACACGAGUCUAAAUGAAACAGAAACUUUAGAAAUCUUUUCUCCCAACCUUUACAAUGUAUACUCCCUUUAUUCAAUUUCAAAAUUACUUAGUACGAAUACGGGGAAAAUUGUUGGUUAAAUAGCACAAAAUUAAUGCUUGUUUCUUUUAUUUUCUAUCGAAAACUAUUCAUCCUUGUAAGUAUCUAAUGGGCAUAAUAACAGGUAUUUUUACAUUUAUUUUUUUAGAUAUUUCCCAUUUUUGUACCUUCAAUUAGUAUUUCAAUAGUGUACUCGUAAAGGAAAACAUGUUUUCUUUUAGCAAAGUAACUUUAUAGAUAAUAUUCAUUCACGUUUACAUGGCUUUUUUUCAUAUUCAUACUUUGCUAAGUGAUAGUUUUGAUAAUAUCCAUUUGACUCGGUACUUAUACAUCCCAUGCUUGUGUUAUUAAGAUAUGGCUAAUUCUGGUACUUGUCUUUCAUAAUUUCAAAAUAAAUGUACUUUGACAAUAUGCCUUUCUCACUGUUUUUGAUUACAUAUUUGUUGGUUUUUAUGGUUAAGUUAUAUCACAUUUCGACUGUCCUACCCUUAAUUUGAUAGUUUUUUUCCCAUGACUGUUUGAUUUGUUCACACAAUGUUGUCAACAUAGUGGAGUUUAAUAUGAUUGACAUAUAAGAGAGAGGUUAAGCUAGCUUUAAAUCAUAUCUUAUCCACACUUUCCUACAUAAUAAAAUACAUAUACCAAAUUCGAAAUAUUACAGCUGUUGUUCAUUCGUUGAUGUGUUCUGAGCUUUUCAUUUUGCAAUCUGAUCAUGGACUUUAAAUGUCCGUUAAGAAUUUACAAUAUUCAGUAUUUGUUUUAUAUUCUACUUUAUUAUAUCUUAUUUCACCCUGAACAAAAGUACAUAUAUAAACAUGUCAAAAUAUAAAAACAAUAAAAUUCUUAUAUUUUUUUAACCAGUAAUGAUUUACAUCAUAAACUAUAGAAAGUUAUGCAAAAAAUGCCUUGCACAAAUAAUUCUAAUGACAAAAAACAUAAAAUGACAAAAUUGAUGUGUAUUAAAACUGAAAAGCGGACUAAAUCCCCGUUAUUUUGUACUUUUAUUUAACAACUAAACCUUUAUUAAUGGGAAAACGAACAUAUUCUGCCACAGAUCCUACCUAUUAACUUAUAUUUGCUUAAUCUGGUUUAUAUUCACCUCAUGUUUUAGUACUAUUUAAAGGCCUUCAAAAACAGUUUGCUUCAAUAAUUUUUUUUUUUUUUCAUAAUACAGGUAAGUUUCAGAUUACGUCAACAUUUCUUUUAAUCGAAUGCAUUUACUAAAUCAAUAGAAGCCCUUGGUUAUUAGCUAUCUUUUUAUUAAUUGCUGAGGAAAUCAUGAUAAAAAAACUAAUACACACUUUGGAAUCGAAUCAAUCCGGAUCUGUAUAUAUUCAAUACUUAAUAGUGAAACUGCACGUCUUUUCCGAUAUUGUAUUGGGUACAGUAUAUUAGAAGCAACGUUUUCUUAGUCUAUUCAAAUUAUUCAACACUCAUAUUAUAUGUCUAUGUAUUACUAAUUUUUUGCAAUAGUACAGUCUUUGGAGUUCUAAAACAUAUUGAACAUGACGCGUAUUUACUUAUUUGUUUGUCUUGUUUAUGAUGAGUGUAUUACAAUCUAAAUAAAAAAAGACUAUUAAUUACUAGACAUGUUACGAAAAGGUAUAUUCACGACGUUGAAAUUGACAAAUAACAUAUUAAAUGUGGGGACUGUAUCAAAACACAAAAUAUAUUACCUGUAUACAUUGAAUAUAAUUUAAAAACUGCAUUAAUCCUUUAGAGGCAAUUCGUAUGGAACGAAUAUUAAAUGACAUUUGUACCAUAAGAAAUAUAGGAAAUUGAUAUUAAUAAAUUCCAUAAUAUUUUUAAGAAACUAUAAUGCAAAAAAUGGUGGGGGGAGGGGCACGGUCAUGUAAAUGCAGCAGUAGAUGUAUAUGUGGGGGGGAGGGGACGGAGUGUGUGAAUUCUUGUGCUAGUCCUUAAUAGACCUUACAAAUAAUCAAAGUAUUAUAAUUCGUUUUAUACCUACUCGUGAAUAUAUAUGUAACGGUUAUUUUUAUAUAGUUAUGAAAAGCAAAGAAAGGAGUGUAUGUAUUUUGAUCCAGUUGUUUGCCACCUAAAUUUUUAUCUAACAGGGUAUGUUUUAAAACACUUAAAAUACGAUUUUUAUGCAAUUUUAACUUGAAACUUGUUGCAUAGUAGUUUUAGAAAAUUUACUCACGGUCAUAUAGCGGCGAAGGCAAGUAUUUUCUUCCUUUAUUUCCUUCCAACUUUGUCUUAAUUUAAACUUUCAGCUCAAUUAUUAUUUUCUUUAUAAGGGGUAUGUGAUUGAUGAUUGUUGGUUGCUUAACGUCCAGUGGCAAAUAUUUCAUGCAUGUUCAGAACGAUAAGAGGUUUGUGUAAAAUAUGACUCACUACUCACCGGUUGAACAUCCCUGCAGAGUUCCAAAAGCAUUGCAUAAUGACUUUGCAUUUACACCUUAACUCCACCUUUUGCGGACAUUGCAUUCAUACAUAGGUUAUUGUGGACAACAGAAAUCAUAUAAGAUUUAUUCGAAAUGGUUUCACAUAUAGGACACCAAAAUGAUGCCCAACAGUAUAAUUUAUUGCCUUUAAUUGGACCUGGUUUGGAGUUCGAUUUCCCCCAGAAUUUUGUCAUCUUAGCGGGAAAAACAUUAUCCAUGUCGAUUUCCCCUCUUUAUCCGCUACAGGCGCCAUCAACUUAGAGCUAACCACGAGCAGAAAGAAGAAAAUAUUAAAAAAAAAUUAAUUUGCGUAUAUCAGAGUAUCGGGUAUAUGUCACAGGAAGCUUAUGGAGACAACAGACUGACGAAUCAAUCAGACUGUAGAGCUUUGUGCGGGAUUAGUGGAGCGACAGGUUGAACUUUGUCAGGAACUGUAAUACAAAAAAUAAAACUGACUAAUAUCUAACCAGCUUACUAUGUUUAUGUUAUCAAUCUGGAAUCGAAUGAACAUGUAUAACUCUCAGCCCUCCCUUUUCUAGCCCGCCUAUUCCUCCACGCGUACACUUUUCAUGUCACGAUAGGCUGGACAGUGGUGGAUCAAAGGGGAGGGGGUCCGAGGGUUGGAACCCCCUUUUUUGGACGAUCAAUGCAUUUGAAUGAGGACAUAUGGUUUGAAACCCCCUUUUUAAAAUGGCUGGAUCCGCCCCUGCAAGCAAUGAUAACACAAAAGAAAUUUUCAUAUAGGAUGUUACAUAAUGAGACUCUAGAUAAUUGUGAUUUUAAGUAACCAAGAGGUGUAGAAUUUAAAUGUUACCUGUUUAAAUCUAUAAUCAAUGUUUUGACACCGUCCCCAAAUUUAAAGUCUAAUUUGUCAACCUCAGCUUCGAAAAUAUACCUUUUCGUAACAUGUCUAUUAGUAUGUCAUAUAUUAUGUCAAUCAUGUCCAAAUAUAUCAGAUCUACAAAGUUGAAAAAAAAGAAUGUUUAAUCGUUAUAAAACACAAAUAUUGUGCAAAGGUAAAUGAACGUUACAUAUAAAGUAUGGAAUAUAUAGUUCGACCUACUCAUAUAAUCAAAAGGAUGAAAUGAUAAGAUCAAUUAGACAAGUUCUUAAACUGUUACGGGAAAUGAAUCUCAGUUGUAUGAUAAAUCUUGUUUAUCCGCGACAAAUAAUCGCAAAGUUUGUUUUUCGGCGAAAAUAUUUUGUGUAAUGAUGAAUAAAAUUAUCAGCAGAAUUUAUUGAUAACUGUCGUGCACAUAAGUGUCUAAAUAUGUGCAAGCCGAAAGGUUUUAUCACUCCUAUGUUAAUGUGAUAACAAGAAUUUAUCUUCCAGAACUUCUGCAAAAUGAGAGCCUACUUCGCUAUAUGUGUCUUAUUGAUUUGUCUGUCGGGUAAGUUUGCAUUACUAAAGAAAAUGUUCAUUUAUUAAAGUCUUAAUGAAUAUCAUUUAUACAGUCAUGUUUAUAAAUUUCCUGUUAACAAUAAUUUGAAUUCUUCGAAAAGCUAAGGAUUUUCUUACCCCAGACAUAGAUUACCUUUGGCGCACAACAUUUUAGAAUUUAAUUCUGAGCUUCACUGAUGAGUCUUCUGUAGACCAAGCGCGCGUCUGACGUAUUAAAUCAUAAUCCUGGUGCCUUUUAGAACUAUUCAUAUUUCUUCAUAAGGUUUGAACUUGUAUUCUUAUAUCUACACUAAAGUAAGAGUACGGAAGCGUCAAAAAAUAUAAUUAGAAACAUUAGGAAAUGUGGUAAGUCUGCCAAUGAAUAACAAAAUCUCACUUAAAUCUCAGUUUCAAACUGUAGUGAUAGAUCAUUAAACGAAACUUGUAAUGUCUUUUGUAAAAUUUAUCAUAACAUUACAUUGCUUUGAAAAAAGAGGUCAACUCUUCAGUCUUUUUUUUAUACAAUAGUGGGUGCCCGAUGUUGGCGUGUGGACUCUCUUUCUGUUAAGUGUCUGGAAUUGAUUAGUUUGAAAUAUUUAGGAGCCGUUGACUAUACAAGAUAGGUCAUAUUUUUAGUGUGAACAUUUGAUAAGCUAUUACAUGUAUUUUGUGAGCUAGUACGUCUAAAUGUAUUUUCAAAAAAAAUCAUUUACUUUCGUGCGUCCGUAGCCUUUAUCAUAAUUGGUCAAAGUCAAACAUUUGGAAACUAAUCAUAUGGAAUACACAUAAACACGCAUAUUUUUUUUUUGACGAACUCAAAAGAUCAACUUCUGCAUCUUCAAAGAAGAAUUUAAGAACAUAUUUGAAUAAGAUUAAUCACAAACCAAUCAAUACAGAGCUGACGUAUUUCCGUCGUUUCCUCAAACAAAACAUAAUAUCACUUAUUUUUAAACUUUCUUACCUGUCAUAUAAGUUUUAGAUAUACUGGGUUUUGUAUUAAACAAUUGGAUUAUGCUAUAUCAAACACUUAGUACGUAAUCUCUCUUAUGCGUCAUGUGAAGAUAUUGCGUUCGCUGUCCUUUUACCCGUUAACUUAAUUUCCGACCAUCAAAUCACCAAUUAAUGUUGUCGAAGCUUUAAAUAAAACACAUUUAUUAUCUUUCAAACAGCGAUAUAAUAAUUUCCUAUUCUGUUGAUAUAGCAUCAUCAAAUGUACUAUCAAAUAGUUAUAGUAAAACGUCUUUUCAAUGAAAAUCGUAACCUUAUUUUUGUGAUGUUUUAAUUAACAAUUACAAUAUAUUUUAGGUUUGGAGAAUACUGAUGCUGUGAAGUGCUUUAAAAGUUAUUGUAGUCCUAGAGGUGAUAGUUGCAGAUCCGUAUGUCGUUCCCAUUAUUGUGGCAGUAAAUAUCAAUGUGUCGAAGGAAGGAAAUGCUGCUGUGAUGGUUGUAGACAUAAUUAAUAACCAGGAAUAAACAGAACAUCAAAUUGUGAACCGUGUAGAUAUAAGCAUAUUAAAAUAUUGCAUAAUCAUGUAUUAUGUAAAAGAAAAUUAUUUGGUGAAUUAUUCUGAUUUUUAUAAAUUUCUUUUAUAUUGC
rnacentral:lncRNA from 1 species